GAUGAACGCUAGCUACAGGCUUAACACAUGCAAGUCGAGGGGCAGCAUGGUCUUAGCUUGCUAAGGCUGAUGGCGACCGGCGCACGGGUGAGUAACACGUAUCCAACCUGCCGUCUACUCUUGGCCAGCCUUCUGAAAGGAAGAUUAAUCCAGGAUGGGAUCAUGAGUUCACAUGUCCGCAUGAUUAAAGGUAUUUUCCGGUAGACGAUGGGGAUGCGUUCCAUUAGAUAGUAGGCGGGGUAACGGCCCACCUAGUCAACGAUGGAUAGGGGUUCUGAGAGGAAGGUCCCCCACAUUGGAACUGAGACACGGUCCAAACUCCUACGGGAGGCAGCAGUGAGGAAUAUUGGUCAAUGGGCGAUGGCCUGAACCAGCCAAGUAGCGUGAAGGAUGACUGCCCUAUGGGUUGUAAACUUCUUUUAUAAAGGAAUAAAGUCGGGUAUGCAUACCCGUUUGCAUGUACUUUAUGAAUAAGGAUCGGCUAACUCCGUGCCAGCAGCCGCGGUAAUACGGAGGAUCCGAGCGUUAUCCGGAUUUAUUGGGUUUAAAGGGAGCGUAGAUGGAUGUUUAAGUCAGUUGUGAAAGUUUGCGGCUCAACCGUAAAAUUGCAGUUGAUACUGGAUGUCUUGAGUGCAGUUGAGGCAGGCGGAAUUCGUGGUGUAGCGGUGAAAUGCUUAGAUAUCACGAAGAACUCCGAUUGCGAAGGCAGCCUGCUAAGCUGCAACUGACAUUGAGG
rnacentral:rRNA from 1 species